rnacentral:rRNA from 1 species
UUUUCGGAGAGUUUGAUCCUGGCUCAGAGUGAACGCUGGCGGCGUAGAUUAGGCAUGCAAGUCGAGCGAUACUUUUUUCUUGAGAUGGUGAAGCCGCAAGGCUGAUCUGUUAAGGGAAAAAAGAUAUAGCGGCAGACUGGUGAGUAACACGUGAGUAAUUUACCUCUAAGUCGGGGAUAGCCUUGCGAAAGCGAGGGUAAUACCCGAUGUGUUUACGGUUGCAUAAGCAGCUGUAUGUAAAGAAGGCUCGCAAGAGUUUUCGUUUAGAGAUGAGCUCGCGUCCUAUCAGCUAGUUGGUGGGGUAAUGGCCUACCAAGGCUUUUGACAGGUAGCUGGCCUGAGAGGGUGGUCAGCCACAUGGGGACUGAGACACUGCCCCAACUCCUACGGGAGGCUGCAGUCGAGGAUAUUUAGCAAUGGACGAAAGUCUGACUAUGUGACGCCGCGUGAGGGAUGAAGGUCUUCGGA